AGGAGACAUCUGGGCACAGACACACAGAGAGAAACACCAUGUGAAGACGGAGGCAGAGAUUAGAGUGAUUUGUCUGUAAGCUGAGGACUGCAGUCAACUGCCAGAAACUAGGAAGAGCAAGGAAACAUGCCUCUUUCUUUAAGCCUCCAGAAUUGUGAGAGAAAAAAAUUCUGUUGUUUUAAGCCACCCUGCUCAUGG